rnacentral:rRNA from 1 species
UGGGGAAUUUUGGACAAUGGGCGCAAGCCUGAUCCAGCCAUGCCGCGUGCGGGAAGAAGGCCUUCGGGUUGUAAACCGCUUUUGUCAGGGAAGAAACGCUCUGGGCUAAUACCCUGGGGUAAUGACGGUACCUGAAGAAUAAGCACCGGCUAACUACGUGCCAGCAGCCGCGGUAAUACGUAGGGUGCAAGCGUUAAUCGGAAUUACUGGGCGUAAAGCGUGCGCAGGCGGUUAUGCAAGACAGAUGUGAAAUCCCCGGGCUCAACCUGGGAACUGCAUUUGUGACUGUAUAGCUAGAGUACGGUAGAGGGGGAUGGAAUUCCGCGUGUAGCAGUGAAAUGCGUAGAUAUGCGGAGGAACACCGAUGGCGAAGGCAAUCCCCUGGACCUGUACUGACGCUCAUGCACGAAAGCGUGGGGAGCAAACGGGAUUAGAUACCCCCGUAGUCCCUGAGCGGGCUGGCAAGGCGCAU